AAGCUUUGUGGUUCCAAGUAGAAGUCGGGUCUGAACCGUAACUGGAAAAACCCAAGCCAAAGCAGCAGGAACACGCGAGCCCCUUCCUUUCACAGUGCAAAUCUUCGAUCCCCCGCGAGCUCCUCUUCCUCCACUGAUUUCCACCGGUCCAACGGUGAACAAGGAGCAACGUGAGCUCAUAUCGGGAGUUCCAAACUGAGUUCGUCAAUGGCGACUAAUUUCGAUGCAUCGACAGACAAAGAUGAACGAUGAAGGUGAAUCAAGCUUACGGAAUUCUUCACCUCUUCAUCCUAACGUUGAGAUUCGUACAGGAAGUUCGCUCAAGAAUUAGAAUUCCAUAACUCCAAUCGAUCUCGUGUAACCAACAUGUAAGCGUUGCGACCCGUGUGGAAUUCAAACCUGGAAUUCUAAACAAAGAACCACUUAUCUUGAUCGGAUCCGCGUGUAGAUCAUAGCGCCCGAACCAAAUUUCAGGCGCAAAGCGUUCUUCAUGGCCCUCUCGACCCAAUGGUUUGGAGUUCGGUUUCGACCUGUCUCGCAACAAACGGCAAACUGUCAAAGCGUGCCUUCUGUUGGUGAUGACGAAAGCAACAUGAAGAUGGUUGAUUGUUCUUUAAUGAAUGGAAAUUAUCAGAGUCGCGCAACCGACCAAAAAUUUGCGUUCAUCCUGAUGAUGGUGAGCAACCGUGAUGAACACGUGUUCUGUGGGGUAUUUAAGGAGGUUGCAGGUUCUUGAGGAACCUUGCUGCCGUUUGCACAGAGUAGUUCUUGAAGUCUCAUCCAAUUUGUUGCAGGGUAAACCAAAAACUGCAGAAUUGAUGUUUUACGGUUAAACCCAAAGAAAAGAGUGAUUCCCAGGUUCUAUGCCGGAAGCAAGUUAUGGUGAAUUCAACUCCAAGAUGAUGGUUGAAGCUUGAAGAAAAUGGAGGCUGGAGCUUGAAGGUUUUGUUUGAAGAAUGAAAAUUGAUGAUUUUGAAGAGAAAGAUGGAGGAUGAAGAAGAAGAUUGAAGAAUGAAGGUUGAAGAAUUUGAAGAAGUGAUUGAAGGUCCUUGAAUUGAGGAAGCAGACAGUUUUAUUGAUGUUGUCCAUGAACCGUACCCGGAUAUGCUUGCUAGGGUUUCAGGUGGCUUAUGGAGAUUCAGAAGAGUGUCUCUCCGAAAUCUCUUUAGGGUGCUCAGAUUUUGAUUGCCCUAUUUGAUGUCUGGUCUGGAACGUGAAAAAACUUGGUGAAAAUUCAUGAGCGGUUUGACGCUUUGUAGGAUUUUGUUGAAGAUGAAGAGUAAAGCACUGGAAGCAUGAUGAGAUUCGCGGUUGAAGCGGUGAAUCAAUUUCGACAUAAACUACUCGUUGAAGGAUUCGUGAUGAUGAAUGACGAAGAGUGAAGCCCUCUACUCUGAAAUGCCGUGAGUCUCCGUUCUUAUCCCUUUUUCAAUACGCUUUCGAUUUCCUCUUCUUCCUGUUUUUGAUUCUUUUCUUUUCUUCUUCAAUUUCCUCUUUUCCUGUCGUGGCCCCUGUGUGAGUGUUGUUGUGAUAACUGGUGUCAUUCUGUCAGUAGAAGCUUGCCCAACCAAUUAGUAAGGGCGGAUUCAGGUUGUGGCUUUGAAUCAUGCUGUUGGAGGUUAGGUGGAUAUUGGAAAGAGCCUCCAACGGCUUUCUAGAAGCAUUCCAACUGCAGUUGCUGAUGAUUUUGCUCAGGUUAAUGGUUAAAUCAAUGGAAGCUAGUUAGUGAAACCGGUUAGCUAUAUCUAGAAAGCAGAAUGCAUAUUGGGCAAUAAAGUGCAGGUUGAGUUGGCGGUUAACUGAACUUACGUACAGAAAAUGGUGAUUCAAUUGGCGGUGUUAGGGUGAUGUAUAGGUUUGGGAGCUUGUUGCCUUCUAAUGCAUCGUCGGCAGAUGAAAGGGAUAACCCAAUGACACCACCAGACUUGAUUGGACUGUGUAGUUCUGUGGAAGAAGGAUUUAUACUGAAUACAUGGCUAUCUCAGGUAUCUCCGGGUUCAGGUUUCCCAGCCUCUGCUACAUGAGUCUUAGAGGAUAUUUUGGUACCCAUAUUCCUUUCCAAUAUUGCGUUUGCGAAACCAAGGGCGAUAUUUGUAAUAAUUAGAAUUAACUCUUCAUUUUUCAUUUCCUGCUGAAAUUAAUUUGCACCAGGUAUGAUAUUGAUGAUGAUGACGCAUUGGUUUGUGUUGUGUGCAUGUUCAUUUUGGCUGGAAUUGAUUAUUGUUGAUACUAAUGAUUGGCUGAAUUGUGCAUUGGUGCUACAGGAUUGAGCAUGCCAUUGUUUAGGCUUGUUUGUUGCAAGUUGUGCCUUGCCUUUUAUUGUUUGUUGCAGAUUCAAGUCCAUGACAUGGUUGAUGGUUGUUGACAAGGUUGCAAGCAUGUUGAUUGUAGGUUGUACUGGUUUAUUGCAGCAAGAUUAUUGAUGUUGCAUGUUGCAAGGUCUGUUGUGGCAUUGAUGAUGGUCCAAUGCAGGAUGGUUGGUUGCUCAUGAUGUAGGUUAGGUUUGUUAACAGUCCAUGGUAGGUUGAAGCUUGGUAUUGGCAUGCUUGGAAAGAGGAAUUAGAAAUUAUGACAAUGUUUUGAGCAUGUAACCUAUGGUUGGAAUUGGUUUCUAACUUUUAAUUUUUGUGAUUUGGAUGGAAUCGUAUUAUAAAGUCAGUGAAUUGUAUUGAA